GAUGAACGCUGGCGGCGUGCCUAAUACAUGCAAGUCGAGCGAACAGAUGAGGAGCUUGCUCCUCUGACGUUAGCGGCGGACGGGUGAGUAACACGUGGAUAACCUACCUAUAAGACUGGGAUAACUUCGGGAAACCGGAGCUAAUACCGGAUAAUAUAUUGAACCGCAUGGUUCAAUAGUGAAAGACGGUUUUGCUGUCACUUAUAGAUGGAUCCGCGCAGCAUUAGCUAGUUGGUAAGGUAACGGCUUACCAAGGCAACGAUGCGUAGCCGACCUGAGAGGGUGGUAGGCAACAGGGGAAGGGAGACAAGGGACAGAGGAAGACGGGAGGCAGAAGUAGGGAAUAGGAAGAAAGGGGCGCAAGGAGGAAGGAGCAAAGCGGAGUGAGUGAUGAAGGUCGUCGGAGCGGAAAAAUCGGUUAUGAGGGAAGAAAAGAUGGGUAAGGAAAUGUGCGCGUAUGGACGGGACCUAAUAAGAAAGAAAAGGCUAACUACGUG
rnacentral:rRNA from 1 species